rnacentral:rRNA from 1 species
GUGAGGAAUAUUGGUCAAUGGACGAGAGUCUGAACCAGCCAAGUAGCGUGAAGGAUGACUGCCCUAUGGGUUGUAAACUUCUUUUAUAUGGGAAUAAAACAGGGUAUGCAUACCCUCUUGUAUGUACCAUAUGAAUAAGGAUCGGCUAACUCCGUGCCAGCAGCCGCGGUAAUACGGAGGAUCCGAGCGUUAUCCGGAUUUAUUGGGUUUAAAGGGAGCGUAGGUGGAUUGUUAAGUCAGUUGUGAAAGUUUGCGGCUCAACCGUAAAAUUGCAGUUGAAACUGGCAGUCUUGAGUACAGUAGAGGUGGGCGGAAUUCGUGGUGUAGCGGUGAAAUGCUUAGAUAUCACGAAGAACUCCGAUUGCGAAGGCAGCUCACUGGACUGCAACUGACACUGAUGCUCGAAAGUGUGGGUAUCAAACAGG